rnacentral:tmRNA from 1 species
GGGGUCGACUGGUUUUGACAGCGAGACCAAUUAUAGUGUAAGCACGCCGAGCUAUGAAAUUAAUGCUCGUUAAACGCUUAUUUCAACUUUUUAAACGGCGAUAAUAACUACGCCCUAGCUGCAUAAUCUGAAUUUUAGUAAGAUUACGCCUCGGUCUACAAGGUAGACAAGCAGGAAAUCUCUCGGGAGCCUUGGUUUAUGGCGACUGAUUAUGAGAUUUCGUAAAAAUAAACCUAGAUGUGGUAGCACUUCGAUGCCACAUCGAAAUUAAAGAAGAUAGGCUUUAGGUAGGCGGUUUUUGGUCAGCCUAAAGAUGAAAAUUAAACAAAAACUAAGCGCGUAGAAAGCAUUUUAAUUGCUUGUUUGGACGAGGGUUCGAAUCCCUCCGACUCCACUG